CUAGAUCAGAAGUGAGAAUGUUGACAUGAGUAGCGAUAAAGAGGGUGAGAGACCCUCUCGCCGUAAGUCCAAGGGUUCCUGCUUAAAGCUAAUCUGAGCAGGGUAAGCCGGCCCCUAAGGCGAGGCCGAAAGGCGUAGUCGAUGGGAACCACGUUAAUAUUCGUGGGCCAGGAGGAAGUGACGGAUCUCAAAGAUUGUCUGCCCUUAUCGGAUUGGGUGGGCCGUUCAGAGGUUCCAGGAAAUAGCCCUCCAUGAGACCGUACCCUAAACCGACACAGGUGGACUGGUAGAGUAUACCAAGGCGCUUGAGAGAACCACAUUUAAGGAACUCGGCAAAAUGCCUCCGUAAGUUCGCGAGAAGGAGGCCCUGUCUUUACGCAAGUAGAGGCAGGGGGCACAAACUAGGGGGUGGCGACUGUUUACUUAAAACACAGGGCUGUGCGAAGCCGUAAGGCGACGUAUACAGUCUGACGCCUGCCCGGUGCUGGAAGGUUAAAAGGAGGGGUGCAAGCUCUGAAUUGAAGCCCCAGUAAACGGCGGCCGUAACUAUAACGGUCCUAAGGUAGCGAAAUUCCUUGUCGGGUAAGUUCCGACCUGCACGAAUGGCGUAACGAUCUCCCCGCUGUCUCAAAUGUGGACUCAGCGAAAUUGAACUGUGUGUCAAGAUGCACACUACCCGCGGUUAGACGGAAAGACCCCAUGCACCUUUACUCCAGCUUUGCACUGGUAUCAGGAUUGUGAUGUGCAGGAUAGGUGGUAGGCAUCGAAGCGGGGACGCCAGUCUUCGUGGAGCCUCCCUUGAGAUACCACCCUUCGCCAUCUUGAUAUCUAACCGCGGCCCGUUAUCCGGGUCCGGGACCCUGCAUGGUGGGGAGUUUGACUGGGGCGGUCGCCUCCCAAAUUGUAACGGAGGCGCGCGAAGGUAGGCUCAGACCGGUCGGAAAUCGGUCGUUGAGUGCAAUGGCAGAAGCCUGCCUGACUGCAAGUCUGACAAGACGAGCAGAGACGAAAGUCGGUCAUAGUGAUCCGGUGGUCCCAAGUGGGAGGGCCAUCGCUCAACGGAUAAAAGGUACGCUGGGGAUAACAGGCUGAUGAUGCCCAAGAGUCCAUAUCGACGGCAUCGUUUGGCACCUCGAUGUCGGCUCAUCUCAUCCUGGGGCUGGAGCAGGUCCCAAGGGUAUGGCUGUUCGCCAUUUAAAGAGGUACGUGAGCUGGGUUUAGAACGUCGUGAGACAGUUCGGUCCCUAUCUGCCGUGGGUGUAGGAGAUUUGAGAAGAGUUGCCCCUAGUACGAGAGGACCGGGGUGAACGAACCACUGGUGGACCAGUUAUCGUGCCAACGGUAGUGCUGGGUAGCUAUGUUCGGACAGGAUAACCGCUGAAGGCAUCUAAGCGGGAAGCCCCCUUCAAAACAAGAUCUCCCUUGAGAGCCGUGGAAGACCACCACGUCGAUAGGCCAGAGAUGUAAGUGCAGCAAUGCAUUCAGUUGACUGGUACUAAUUGCUCGAUAGGCUUGAUUUG
rnacentral:rRNA from 1 species